rnacentral:rRNA from 1 species
CUCGUAGGCGGUUCGUCGCGUCCGGUGUGAAAGUCCAUCGCUUAACGGUGGAUCUGCGCCGGGUACGGGCGGGCUGGAGUGCGGUAGGGGAGACUGGAAUUCCCGGUGUAACGGUGGAAUGUGUAGAUAUCGGGAAGAACACCAAUGGCGAAGGCAGGUCUCUGGGCCGUUACUGACGCUGAGGCUCGAAAGCGUGGGGAGCAAACA